AUGCCAGCAGCAGCGCCGCUCCUCAAGCCGGCGGCCGACGACGACCUCUGCCGCUUCAAGAGCAUCGCGAGCAUGCUAGACGGCGGGAAUGGCCAUGUCAGGGAGGCGGUGGAGGCCGCCAGGGACGCUGGAUCCGGGGCGCUGCACGCCGCCGCCGGUCACAGGAGGAUGCCGGUGUGCGUCUACCUGGUCGAGAAGCUUCACGUGAAUGUCAAUGCCGAAGACAACAAAGGAGCUCCGAGCACAGGUGGAUGGCCUGCAGGCCGCCCUUGCCUAGAAGCACGCUCUUGCCGUUGCCGAUCAGGCAACAUGGUGACUCUAGUGCACGCAGCAUUGGCCAUCCUCUUCGAGGCUGUGUUUAGAAAUAAUGCUCAUGGUAUAUUUAUAUGUCCUGCAACGCAUGCUCUUUUUCGGUCUAUACGGAAUCUUGAUAUGGACGAGCUGCAUCAGGACAACCUGGAGCGGAAGAACUUUGAGGGCAAGAUCAAGGAGAACCAAAAGACGAUCACCGGUUACCUCAUCCUCGUCGGCAUGCUUGGCUCCUUUGGCAGACCCCUCUUUGGCUCCUACCAACUUACUUUUGUCGCUGGCUAG
rnacentral:rRNA from 1 species